rnacentral:rRNA from 1 species
ACGUUAUUCGGAAUCACUGGGCUUAAAGCGCGUGUAGGCGGGACGGCACGUCGGUUGCUGAAAUCCCCCGGCUCAACCGGGGAACGGGCAGCGAUACGACCGUCCUGGAGGGGGGUAGGGGGAGCUGGAACUUCCGGUGGAGCGGUGAAAUGCGUUGAGAUCGGAAGGAACGCCCGUGGCGAAAGCGAGCUCCUGGACCCUUACUGACGCUGAGACGCGAAAGCCA